rnacentral:rRNA from 1 species
ACGAAGGGGGCUAGCGUUGUUCGGAUUUACUGGGCGUAAAGCGCACGUAGGCGGAUUGUUAAGUCGGGGGUGAAAUCCUGGAGCUCAACUCCAGAAUUGCCUUCGAUACUGGCUUUCUAGAGGCUGGAAGAGGUUAGUGGAAUUCCCAGUGUAGAGGUGAAAUUCGUAGAUAUUGGGAAGAACACCAGUGGCGAAGGCGGCUAACUGGUCCAGAUCUGACGCUGAGGUGCGAAAGCGUGGGGAGCAAACAGGA